rnacentral:rRNA from 1 species
GAUGAACGCUGGCGGCGUGCCUAAUACAUGCAAGUCGAGCGAACGGACGAGAAGCUUGCUUCUCUGAUGUUAGCGGCGGACGUGUGAGUAACACGUGUAUAACCUACCUAUAAGACUGGGAUAACUUCGAGAAACCGGAGCUAAUACCGGAUAAUAUUUUGAACCGCAUGGUUCAAAAGUGAAAUACGGUCUUGCUGUCACUUAUAGAUGCAUCCGCGCUGCAUUAGCGAGUUGGUAAGGUAACGGCUUACCAAGGCAAGGAUGCAUAGCCGACCUGCGGGGGGGAUCGGCCACUGUGAAAGUGAGAGACGACCCAGAGUCCGAGGGGAGGCACAAGUAGGGAAGCUUGGGAACUGGGCGAAAGACUGCAGGAGGAACGGAGCGUGAGUGAUGAAGGGCUGCGGAUCGUAAAACUGUGUUAUUAGGGAAGAACAUAUGUGUAAGUAACGGUGCGUAUCUGGAGGGAACCUAAAAAGAAAGCCAGGCUAACUUACGU